rfam:Camelus ferus unplaced genomic scaffold scaffold200, whole genome shotgun sequence.
GAGGGUACAGCUUAGUGGUAGAGUGCAUGUUUAGCACGCACUAGGUCCUGGGUUUAAUCCCCAGUACCUCCA